CGCUCUGAGAUGGACCCGCGUCUGAUUAGGUAGUUGGUGAGGUAACGGCUCACCAAGGCGAUGACGGGUAGCCGGUCUGAGAGGAUGUCCGGCCACACUGGAACUGAGACACGGUCCAGACACCUACGGGUGGCAGCAGUCGAGAAUCAUUCACAAUGGGGGAAACCCUGAUGGUGUGACGCCGCGUGGGGGAAUGAAGGUCUUCGGAUUGUAAACCCCUGUCAUGUGGGAGCAAAUUAAAAAGAUAGUACCACAAGAGGAAGAGACGGCUAACUCUGUGCCAGCAGCCGCGGUAAUACAGAGGUCUCAAGCGUUGUUCGGAAUCACUGGGCGUAAAGCGUGCGUAGGCUGUUUCGUAAGUCGUGUGUGAAAGGCGCGGGCUCAACCCGCGGACGGCACAUGAUACUGCGAGACUAGAGUAAUGGAGGGGGAACCGGAAUUCUCGGUGUAGCAGUGAAAUGCGUAGAUAUCGAGAGGAACACUCGUGGCGAAGGCGGGUUCCUGGACAUUAACUGACGCUGAGGCACGAAGGCCAGGGGAGCGAAAGGGAUUAGAUACCCCUGUAGUCCUGGCAGUAAACGGUGCACGCUUGGUGUGCGGGGAAUCGACCCCCUGCGUGCCGGAGCUAACGCGUUAAGCGUGCCGCCUGGGGAGUACGGUCGCAAGAUUAAAACUCAAAGAAAUUGACGGGGACCCGCACAAGCGGUGGAGUAUGUGGCUUAAUUCGAUGCAACGCGAAGAACCUUACCUGGGCUUGACAUGUAAUGAACAACAUGUGAAAGCAUGCGACUCUUCGGAGGCGUUACACAGGUGCUGCAUGGCCGUCGUCAGCUCGUGUCGUGAGAUGUUUGGUUAAGUCCAGCAACGAGCGCAACCCCUGUUGCCAGUUACCAGCACGUGAAGGUGGGGACUCUGGCGAGACUGCCCAGAUCAACUGGGAGGAAGGUGGGGACGACGUCAGGUCAGUAUGGCCCUUAUGCCCAGGGCUGCACACGUACUACAAUGCCCAGUACAGAGGGGGCCGAAGCCGCGAGGCGGAGGAAAUCCUGAAAACUGGGCCCAGUUCGGACUGUAGGCUGCAACCCGCCUACACGAAGCCGGAAUCGCUAGUAAUGGCGCAUCAGCUACGGCGCCGUGAAUACGUUCCCGGGUCUUGUACUAACCGCCCGUCA
rnacentral:rRNA from 1 species